rnacentral:rRNA from 1 species
GAUAAGCUGCGAUAAGCUAUGGGUAGGAGCAAAUAUCCACUAAUCCAUAGAUCUCCGAAUGAGGAAACUCAACUAGUAACAAUAUACUAGUUAUCCAUACAUGAGUAAAGUAGUGUAUGAGAAGGGAACGUGGGGAACUGAAACAUCUUAGUACCCACAGGAAAAGAAAGAGAAAUCGAUUCCUAGAGUAGUGGCGAGCGAAAUAGGAAGAGCCCAAACUGUAAGUAGUAAUACAUACAGGGUUCGGACUGCAUAAUCGAUUUAAUGAGUUUAGUAGAAGUGUUUUGGAAAAGCACACCAUAGAUGGUGAAAGUCCAGUAUGCGAAAAGCGAGUUAACGAGGCAGUAUCCAGAGUAGCACGAGGCACGUGGAAUCUCGUGUGAAUGUGUGGGGACCAUCCCAUAAGGCUAAAUACUACUUGAUGACCGAUAGUGAACGAGUACCGUGAGGGAAAGGUGAAAAGAACCCCGGGAGGGGAGUGAAAUAGAACCUGAAACCCUAUGUUUACAAGCAGACAAAGCACGUUAAGGUGCGAUGUCGUACUUUUUGUAGAACGGUCCGGCGAGUUAUUUUAUAUGGCAAGGUUAAGUACUAAAGGUACGGAGCCGAAGAGAAAUCGAGUCUGAAGAGGGCGAAUAAGUCAUAUGAAAUAGACCCGAAACCGAGUGACCUAUCCAUGUCCAGGCUGAAGCUUGAGUAAAAUCAAGUGGAGGGCCGAACUCAUAGACGUUAAAAAGUCUCGGGAUGAGGUGUGGAUAGCGGAGAAAUUCCAAUCGAACUCGGAGAUAGCUGGUUCUCCUCGAAAUAGUUUUAGGACUAGCCUUGUUUAGUAGUAUGUGGGGGUAGAGCACUGAAUGAGCUAGGGGCCAAACCAGGUUACUGAACUCUAUCAAACUCCGAAUACCAUGUACGUAAGAACAGGAGUCAGACUGCGGGAGCUAAGUUCCGUGGUCAAAAGGGAAAGAGCCCAGAUCGUCAAUUAAGGUCCCAAAGAUAUAGUUAAGUGGAAAACGAUGUGAUUUUGCGUAAACAACCAGGAUGUUGGCUUAGAAGCAGCCAUUCAUUCAAAGAGUGCGUAAUAGCUCACUGGUCGAGUGAAGUUGCGCGGAAAAUUACCGGGGCUAAACUAUACACCGAAAUUGCGGAUUUGUACGUAAGUACAAGUGGUAGAGGAGCAUUCUAUAGUAGGACGAAGCAUAAUCGAAAGGAUAUGUGGACGAGAUAGAAGAGAGAAUGCCGGAAUAAGUAGCGAAAGCAUGGUGAGAAUCCAUGCCAUCGAAAGUCUAAGGUUUCCUGGGGAAGGUUCGUCCGCCCAGGGUAAGUCGGGACCUAAGGAGAGGCCGAAAGGCGUAUCUGAUGGACAGCAGGUAGAAAUUCCUGCACCACCGAUAUACUUAAAAAAUGCAAGGGACACAGUAGUGGAAGGAAAGCGAGGAAGAGGAAAGACUCGUAUCGAAAGAUAUAGUGAAAAAAUAAGUAACGAAUUUCCAAGAAGCACACUGGCGAGAAAAGCUUGUAGGAAUUGUAUAAAGGUGCCCGUACCGCAAACCGACACAGGUAGAUGAGGAGAGGAUCCUAAGAUGAGCGAGAGAAGCAUUGUUAAGGAACUCGGCAAAUUGACCCCGUAACUUAGGGAGAAGGGGUGCCAAAGUAAAAUUUGGUCGCAGAGAAGAGGCCCAAGCAACUGUUUAACAAAAACACAGGUUUCUGCUAAAUCGAAAGAUGAAGUAUAGGAGCUGACGCCUGCCCAGUGCUGGAAGGUUAAGGGGAAGAGUUAGAUGUAAGUCGAAGCUUAGAACCAAAGCCCCAGUGAACGGCGGCCGUAACUAUAACGGUCCUAAGGUAGCGAAAUUCCUUGUCAGGUAAGUUCUGACCCGC